AAAAGAAUUAGGGGUCCUGCGUUGGGGUCAAGAACAGUGGCUCAGUAUGAGAGGGGAGGGAAAAUUAUGAGUACAUGGUAUCUAUCUUGCAAAUGAAUAACCAGUCAGCCUUAAUCCAUGUUUGCAUUCUAGGGAGGGGACCUCCAAGACACGGCCAAGUGAAGCCAGAAGUGCAGUUACAAAUUUGCUCAUUCUGUCUUUCAUUCAGCAAGUAUUUACUAAGAGCCUACUAAGUGUCCAGCACUGUUCUAAAAGCUGAGGAUACAGUGGUGAACCAAAACAGACAAAACUCUCUGCCUUUGUGGAGCUUAUGUUCUAGUCCUUUCUUUCCCCUUGAAGCACAGAAAGCAUGUCUUCUUACUAUUCCAGUCUUCUUCUUAUUCUUAUACAUCUAGUGCUCCAGAGCAAAGGAAGAAUUAGCUUGCAGCAAGAAUUUCAGCAGGAAUUCCAGAAGAAUUUGUGACACAUGUCAGGCACAUAGUAACCUUGCCUUGUGAAGCAAGAAGACAAAAGGCUUAUUACUUUGGCAGAGUAACUUGAAUGGAG
rnacentral:lncRNA from 1 species